rnacentral:rRNA from 1 species
AGGUCGAGCGAUGAAGCCUUCGGGUGGAUUAGCGGCGGACGGGUGAGUAACACGUGGGUAACCUGCCUCAAAGAGGGGGAUAGCCUCCCGAAAGGGAGAUUAAUACCGCAUAACAUUAGUUUUUCGCAUGGAAGACUAAUUAAAGGAGUAAUCCGCUUUGAGAUGGACCCGCGGCGCAUUAGCUAGUUGGUGAGGUAAAGGCUCACCAAGGCCACGAUGCGUAGCCGACCUGAGAGGGUGAUCGGCCACAUUGGAACUGAGACACGGUCCAGACUCCUACGGGAGGCAGCAGUGGGGAAUAUUGCACAAUGGGCGAAAGCCUGAUGCAGCAACGCCGCGUGAGUGAUGAAGGCCUUUGGGUUGUAAAGCUCUGUCUUUUGGGACGAUAAUGACGGUACCAAAGGAGGAAGCCACGGCUAACUACGUGCCAGCAGCCGCGGUAAUACGUAGGUGGCAAGCGUUGUCCGGAUUUACUGGGCGUAAAGGAUGCGUAGGUGGAUAUUUAAGUGAGAUGUGAAAUACCCGAGCUUAACUUGGGUGCUGCAUUUCAAACUGGAUAUCUAGAGUGCAGGAGAGGAGAAUGGAAUUCCUAGUGUAGCGGUGA